AGCAGCUGCCCCUGCAAAUGUCAGCGCCAGCCCAGUCAAAAGAGCUUGAAACCUACCAAGCCGGAGGACUGUGCUGUGCCUCUCUCGCCCACAUUUUCCCCAAGCACUCUCAGGAACCUGGCAACAGUGUCCCCUUGUGGCCAAGCCUGGAACAUCACAUCUGUACGUUGCAAUCUGUGGAUCAGCUACGAGACUGAGAGAAAGGAAUGAAAGGAUGGAAGAAUUACAAGAUCAGGCACUGCUGUCUGUCUGUUCCACGGAUGUAACCACAGCACACGCGUGGCUCACGGUACUAGUGUGAUAAAUGCUUGUUACAUGAAGGCGUGAACAGGGAUGAGAAGAGACUUCCUGGAGAAACAAAAGGACUAACAAUCAGGAAGGGGAGGUGAUCGGGGCAGGAGUAAAGUGGACACCUCAGCAAAGCCAUUCGCUGUGAUCUCUGAUUGUGCAGUGUCAUGUCCUGUCACCAGAGCCCCCUCGUGUUUGAUGUUGGCCAAUGCCGCCAGCAUGAUCUAGCAGGCCAAAUCCUAAUCUACCAUUCUCUGACACCAGCUGGUCCCCUGGGUCGUCCACCCGAUGUCCCCCAUUCUCCCCACUUGGCCUCCCCCACAGGCUCUCGGCAAAGGACCGUGGGAGGCACCUGUGACACUGCCCUUUUCCUGUGCAGCUGUUUUUCUUCUUCAUUCUUUUCACUCCUCGUUACUCUUUUUUUUUUCACUCUCAGCCCACACAAAACUAGGAACUUUGUUAUUCUACUUAUUUUUCUGUACUCUGUCUGUUUGCACACAGAUGGAUAUCUGAGAGCCAGCGAACUUUCUUUACCUCCUAGUAUCAUUUCAUGAAAAUUAGUAGCACCUGCACAAUGGGGCCUUGGAGACAGGAAUAAAAGGAAAAAUCUGGAAUGGAAUCACAUGACGCAACAGGCUAUGAAGACUCCCUGCCCGGCUGCUAUAUGUCUGGUAAACAGAAUAAAUAGUACUUGAGCAUCCCUGA